AUUGAACGCUGGCGGCAGGCCUAACACAUGCAAGUCGAGCGCGAAAGGCUUUCGGGCUGAGUAGAGCGGCGGACGGGUGAGUAACGCGUAGGAAUCUACCUGGUAGUGGGGGACAACUUGGGGAAACUCAAGCUAAUACCGCAUACGCCCUAUGGGGGAAAGCGGGGGACCUUCGGGCCUCGCGCUAUCAGAUGAGCCUGCGUAGGAUUAGCUAGUUGGUGGGGUAAAGGCUCACCAAGGCGACGAUCCUUAGCUGGUCUGAGAGGAUGAUCAGCCACACUGGGACUGAGACACGGCCCAGACUCCUACGGGAGGCAGCAGUGGGGAAUAUUGCGCAAUGGGGGCAACCCUGACGCAGCCAUGCCGCGUGUGUGAAGAAGGCCUUCGGGUUGUAAAGCACUUUAAGUGGGGAGAAAAGG
rnacentral:rRNA from 1 species